AUUAGGGUUUCUCGUUUCCUCGCUAUAAGUAAGUCGCCUCCACGGCUUCUCUCCUCGGUGCCCAAAGCUCCUCUCUGAUGGCGGGGGCUUCGGAGGCGACAUAUCUAGGGUUCGUGGUUUUGUAGGACUUUGAAGGCGAGAUCUCGAAGAUAAUUGAUCUCAACGCCUUCGACGCCUCCAAACCUCUCGAAUAGCGGAGCUUGGCGGCAGUGUAAUCGCCCACGUUCCAAUCCCAAGGGACCUUGUCGGAGCUGUAAGUUCUUGCCGAAGGUGGCUGCCAGCGUAUAUCGAAUGCUUGACCCGAGACCUAGUUUCCACCGAUGGAUAUCUUCCUCUAAAGCAUGUUGAAAUAAUCCUCAAAGCAAGGAUGCCUAAAUAAAUAAACAUGUAAAUCAAGAAUGCCUAACGUUUCAAACUAA